AAAGAGUUUUUUAGUUCUAAAUUUUUAUUUAUUUAUUAAUUUAAUGUAAAUUUUAGUGUAAAAUAAGAAAUAAAUAGGUUUUAAAAAAAUUUUUUAUAGUUUAAAUUGCAGUAAUUAGUUUUUUAGAUUAAAGAGUUUUAGAUAAAGAUAAAAAUAAAAGUAUAAACUAAAUUUGUGCCAGCAGUUGCGGUUAUACAAAUUAUACAAUAAAAAUUGGUUAGAUAGAGUUAAAUUUUUAUUAAUUAUUUAAAAAAAGAUAUUAAUUUUAUAAGGUGAAAUUUUAUUUUUAAAAAAAUUUUUUGGUGGUUUAAGAUUUGAGGCUCAAAAAUUUUGUUUAAAACUAGGAUUAGAUACCCUAUUAUAAAAAUGUAUUAAAAAUUUGAUCUAAAUUAGUGCUAGAGAAAAAUAAAAUUUUUAUAUUCUUGAAAAUUAAGAAGAAUGGCGGUAUUUUAGUCUUUUCAGAGGAACCUGUCCUAUAAUUGAUAGUCCACGAUUUUUUUUACUUUAUUUUUUAGCUUGCAUAUCGCCGUGGUUGAAUGUUUUUUUUGAAGCUAUAAUAUUCAAGAUUUUAAGAUUUUUAGAUAAAAAGGAAUUCAGGUCAAGAUGUAGUUUAUAGUAAAGAAGAGAUGGGUUACAAUAAUUUAAAUUUUUGGAAUUUUUCUUUUAAAAAAAUUUUUGAAACUGGAUUUGAAGGUAAUUUUAUAAAUUUAUGUAUAAUGAUUUUAGCUCUAAAAUGUGUACAUAUCGCCCGUCGCUUUCAUUUUAAAAUGAAAUAAGUCGUAACAUAGUAGAUGUACUGGAAAGUGCCUCUAGAAGAUA
rnacentral:ncRNA from 1 species